UUUUUCUAUCUUAUUUUAAUUUUCCAGGGGAAGGAGGCGAGGCUGAGAGUCUGAGACACAGGCCGGGAGAGAAGAACAAGACAUGAGUAGAACCUCGAUCCCUAGAUCUCUGCAAUUCCCUUUGCUCUUAUUCUUGAGCUUGAUCCAUCUGCAUUUCAUUCCAGGAUUGGCGAAUGACCCAUCAAGUACCAAAAAUGAAAAUAAAGCUGCAAGUCAUGGUGCUUCGAGUGGCUCUGUAGGACUCAAGGUAGUCAUUGUUUGCCUUGGUUUGGUGGUGUUUGUUGGUUUUGCCGUGCUUGUAUUCAAGAUAUGGAAAAAGAAGAAGAGAGAAGAGCAGCAUGCCCGUCUGCUAAAGCUUUUUGAAGAUGAUGAUGAACUUGACGUUGAACUUGGUAUUCGGGAUUGAGUUCCAUUCUCAUUCGUGUAUUGACUGUAAUUAAAUGAGGUUCUCUUAAGUGGGCAAUGUGCCUCAUGAAGUGCAUUCUAUAGUUCUUGCACGUUCUGGGAAUUGGAAUGACUUUAUACAUGACUUGUUCCAGCUUCCAGCCAGUUUCCAUCCUAGACUUACUAAAAUUCUGUACCAUACAAUACAAUGCUCCUGAUUAUAAUUUUGUUGAGAAGACUUAUAUAAUUAUAAUUUUGUUAUAAUUUUCUCAGAAUCGCAUGUCAUUUCUGAGAAAGACCUCGAGUCGACGUUGGACAUGGACUCUGAAUGUUGUAUGAACGGCAGACAAGCAGCGCAUGUCUUUUGGAAA